GCAAACUUGGUCAUUUAGAGGAAGUAAAAGUCGUAACAAGGUUUCCGUAGGUGAACCUGCGGAAGGAUCAUUGCAAAUCAAUUGGGGGAUGGGGUGUUGAGUGGUAUUUGGUCUUGAUCUUUUACUGCUCAUUUAUACUCUAUUUCCAUAUAUGCACAGUGUGUUUGGAUGCGUGGGUUAGCCAUUCGCUAAUCCAUCACACCCGUCACGCUGAUGUUUACGCUUGUUUGUUUGACAAAUCUUGUUUCCAUAAUUCAAUCAAAACUUUUAACAACGGAUCUCUUGGCUCUUGCAUCGAUGAAGAACGCAGC
rnacentral:misc_RNA from 1 species